UCGGGGUGUUGCGCAGUUGGUAGCGCGCCUGCUUUGGGAGCAGGAGGCCGCGAGUUCGAGUCUCGCCACUCCGAUCC
rnacentral:tRNA from 1 species